GGUUUCUUAUGCAAUUGGUGUUGCAGAACCACUCUCCGUGUUUGUUGACACUUACAAAACCGGAACCAUUCCAGACAAGGAUAUUUUGGUUCUGAUCAAGGAGAACUUUGACUUCAGGCCUGGAAUGAUGGCAAUUAACCUUGACUUACUCAGAGGAGGUAACUUCAGGUACCAGAAGACUGCUGCUUAUGGUCACUUUGGCCGUGAUGACCCUGAUUUCACCUGGGAGACUGUCAAGGCCCUCAAGCCUAAAGCUUGAGAGAGUUUCAGCCCUAUGGAGGUUGGGGUGCUCAUGGUGGAGGUGCCUUCUCAGGGAAAGAUCCUACCAAGGUGGACAGAAGUGGUGCUUAUAUUGUGAGACAAGCAGCAAAGAGUGUGGUCGCAGCAGGACUUGCUCGCCGCUGCAUUGUCCAAGUUUCUUAUGCAAUUGGUGUUGCAGAACCACUCUCCGUGUUUGUUGACACUUACAAAACCGGAACCAUUCCAGACAAGGAUAUUUUGGCUCUGAUCAAGGAGAACUUUGACUUCAGGCCUGGAAUGAUGGCAAUUAACCUUGACUUACUCAGAGGAGGUAACUUCAGGUACCAGAAGACUGCUGCUUAUGGUCACUUUGGCCGUGAUGACCCUGAUUUCACCUGGGAGACUGUCAAGGCCCUCAAGCCUAAAGCUUGAGAGUUCCUCACUCACAACACAAACUACCAACUUUCUUGUGCCUAUUAUUCUUGUUGCGGAACAAUAAACAAGCUACAUUGAGUAGAUUGAUACCCUAUUCUUACGGUUAAGGCCCUAUUGAGUGGAGGGAGACCGAGGAAGUGUCUUCAUACUUUCGAGGAUUCUAAGAGCUCCUAUAGUUGAUCCUGUUGAUUUCUUUUCUUGUUUUUGCAGUAUUUAAUUUCAAAGUGACUUCCGAAAUUUAUUUCUGAUGUACCCGGAUACAAACAAGUUCUUUUGUCAUUGUGUUCAUUUAUCUAAUGAGAAAUGCAGUAUGUUGAACUACUGGUUCUGCCUUCUUUCUUUAGAUAUACAGUUUAAGUUAUGCUACUCUAUGUUUUCAAACGGGAUAAAAAGUUUCUUUUAAGUAGGAUGUUAGCUUUCCAAGAUGUUCUGGCAGUGGAGUUCUAUGUUCACAAGCAUCGAGGGUUGUUAUACUAAGCAACAAUGCUAAAAGCUGGUAGUUUACAUUUGAAAGGUACGAGGAAGUGAACUAAACUCUUACAAGUUGC
rnacentral:lncRNA from 1 species